CGGAGUCCUGUUUCAAGCAUGCCGGGGUCAUGUUUCAGCCACGCCUGAACCACCUGCCACGCAUGUGUGCACCAUGCACCAGCCACCCCUGAACCACACGAAGGCCAUGCAUGAACCAUGUGUGAACCACACCUGCGUGAUGUCAGGCAUGCCUGAGUCAUGUUUCCUCCUCACCUGAGUCUUGUGUCAGCCUGGCCUGAACAACAUGUGAACCACGGCUGUGUCAAGGCUCAGCCGCACCAAGUCACGUGCCAGCCAGACCUGAUCCAAGUGCCAGUCACCCUUGAACCAAAGGUCAGCCUCACUUGAAGCACAUGUCAGCCACACGGGCACAACUUUCCUGCCAUGCCUGUAACACGUGCCACGUGCCAUUCAUGCCUAAAUCACAUGUGAGACACGCCUGACCAACACCACAGACAUGCAUGAGCCACACCUGAACCAGUUGUGAUGCACACGUGACCAAAGCCUGUAUCAUGUGACAACCACGUAGGAGCCAGUUCUGUGGCAUGCCUGCCUCACAUGUGAGCCAUGGCUGAGCUAUGCCUGAACCACGUGUGAGAGUGUCCUCAACCAUAUGUGACCCAGACGAGUCGUGUGAGAUUCACGCCUGAUUUACAGCUGAACCAUCUGUGAGCCACGCAAGAACCACAUGGGAGACACACUUGAACCCCAUCUGAAGAACCUGUGAAACACACAUGUUCCAUGCUUGAACCACGUAUGAACCACAGGGCAGCCACCCGUGAAACACAGCUCAGCAAUGUAUUAGCCAGGUGGGAGCCAUGACUGAGUAUGUGGGAGCCACGUUUCAGCAACCUGUAGUCACGUGGGAGCCAACUGUGUACGGCAUGUGACACCUGCGUGAUCACAUUUCCGUCACACAUGGAUACUGCGCGAUGAAUGCCUGAGUCACGUGUCAGCCAUGCCUGACACAUGUGACAGCCACACCGGAGUCCUGUUUCACACAUGCCGGAGUCCCAUUUCAGCCACGCCUGAAACAUCUGCCACGCAUGCGUGCAUCAUGCACCAGCCACCCCUGAACCACACGAAGGCCAUGCAUCAACCUUGUGUGAAUCACACCUGCGUGACGUGUCAGGCACGCCUGUGUCACCUUUCCACCUCACCUGAGUCAUGUGUCAGACACUCCUGAACAACGUGUGAACCACGCCUGUGUCAAGGCUCAGCGGCGCCAAGUCACGUGCCAGCCAGGCCUGAACCAAAUGCCAUUCACACAUGAACCACAGGUCAGCCUCAAUUGAAGCACGUGUCAGCCACACUGGCACAACAUGCCUGCCAUGCCUGAACCAGGUGUCACAUGUCACCCAUGCCAAAAUCACAUGUGAGCCACGUGUCACCAACACCACAGACAUGCAUGAGCCACACCUGAACCAUGUGUGAUCCAUGCGUGACCAAAGCCUGUAUCAUCUGUCAGCCACAUGGGAGCC
rnacentral:lncRNA from 1 species